UACGAAGGACCCGAGCGUUAUCCGGAUUAUUGGGUUUAAAGGGUGCGUAGGCGGGUUAUUAAGUCAGUGGUGAAAAGCCUACAGCUUAACUGUAGAAUUGCCAUUGAUACUGAUAAUCUUGAGUAUGAUUGAGGUGGGCGGAAUGUGUCAUGUAGCGGUGAAAUGCUUAGAUAUGACACAGAACACCGAUUGCGAAGGCAGCUCACUAAGCCAUAACUGACGCUGAUGCACGAAAGCGUGGGGAGCAAACAGG
rnacentral:rRNA from 1 species